UCAGUGAUACCUAGUAGUAUGUAGUGGCAACCCAAUAAAACUAAAAUGAACCUCUAGAUGUAGUUAACGUGUGAUUUAGUUCUUCUAUCAUGAGUCCCGACUAGAUGGUAGGUCAUAGAUAAAUCAUCAAACCUUAACAUCAGUCAUAUGAUAAAUUGAUUAGCUCAAGUCGAGUUGUGACUUCUAUAGAAACUCUUUUCCAUCAAUCACAUUACUGUGGUCACAGACUCUUGAACUUAGCCUCUCAAAUAUCAUAGGACUACAUCUCUCUAUCAAGAUCGAUAGAUCCUAUAUUGAUGCGCACCC
rnacentral:lncRNA from 1 species